AAAUAAGUAAGCUAAUCUUAAGCUUUUAGGUUCAUACCCUAACUAUAGAAUUCUUAUUCUCUUAUUUA
rnacentral:tRNA from 1 species